CACAGCCCUCACCUUCACUCUCCCCUCUCAGCCGUUCCUCUGGACAACCAUCAACCCGGAACUUUCCCUCUCAGCUGCAGGAGCAAGGGACGAACCGAACGGAGACCAUAGCAGCCUCCUCUGCAAUCUUCUUCCUUCACCGGCCAUCGCUGCUCUCUUCUCUUUCCCUCUCUCCCACCAAGACGACCCAGCAGCAGCUCCUCCACCACGCACGGCUGCACCCGCAGCUUCGGCCUCCAGCCUUGAGCCACUCC
rnacentral:lncRNA from 1 species